UGUUCGUUAUUUAGGGCGCAUGGUGGAUGCCUUGGCAUGCUGAGCCGAUGAAGGACGUGAAAGGCUGCGUUAAGCCUCGGGGAGUUGUCAAUUAAGCGUUGAUCCGAGGAUGUCCGAAUGGGGAAACCUGGCACUUGUUAUGGAGUGUUACCCUUCAGUGAAUUCAUAGCUGUUGUGGGGGUUACGCGGGGAAGUGAAACAUCUCAGUACCCGUAGGAGAAGAAAAUAAUAAUGAUUCUGCUAGUAGUGGCGAACGAACGUGGAUGAGGCUAAACCGUGUGCAUGUGAUACUUGGUAGGGGUUGUGUGUGCGGUGUUGUGGGCCUUGAUGUGCAGCGACUACCAUCGUUGCGUCUUGUUGUUGGUGUUAGGUGAAGUGGUGUGGAAACGCCUGCCGUAGAGGGUGAUAGUCCUGUAGCUGAAGACAUUGAUGAUGGGGUUGUCAAGUUGCCCGAGUAGCAGCGGGCUCGUGGAAUCUGCUGUGAAUCUGCCGGGACCACCCGGUAAGCCUAAAUACUCAGUGUGACCGAUAGUGGAUAGUACCGUGAGGGAAUGGUGAAAAGUACCCCGGGAGGGGAGUGAAAUAGUUCCUGAAACCAUGUGCUUACAAUCCGUCAGAGCACCGUUUGUGUGUGAUGGCGUGCCUUUUGAAGAAUGAGCCUGCGAGUCAGCGGCAUGUCGCGAGGUUAACCCGUGUGGGGUAGCCGUAGGGAAACCGAAUCCUAAUGGGGUGUCAAGUGGCAUGUCCUGGACCCGAAGCGGGGUGAUCUACCCAUGGCCAGUGUGAAGCAGCAGUAAGAUGCUGUGGAGGCGCGAACCCACGUAGGUUGAAAACUGCGGGGAUGAGCUGUGGGUAGGGGUGAAAGGCCAAUCAAACUCCGUGAUAGCUGGUUCUCCCCGAAAUGCAUUUAGGUGCAGCGUCGCAUUAGCUUGGUGGAGGUAGAGCUACUGGUUGGUUGAGCGGGACUACAAUCUUAGCAAUGUCAGCCAAACUCCGAAUGCCAUUAAUGUGUUGUGCGGCAGUGAGACUGUGGGGGAUAAGCUUCAUAGUCGAGAGGGAAACAGCCCAGAUCGCCGGUUAAGGCCCCUAAGGGUGUGCUAAGUGGAAAAGGAUGUGGGAUCGCGAAGACAGCCAGGAGGUUGGCUUAGAAGCAGCCAUCCUUGAAAGAGUGCG
rnacentral:rRNA from 1 species